AGUCGCAGCAGACAUCCGAUCAGCUGCGUGCCAUGUCUGCUUGACAUUUGCAGAAGCAAAUUACACUACUGUUCUUCAAGAAUUUGGGAAAUUUAUUGGAGAAGACUUGAUGGCAAUAAUGGUGUUUGACAGAGAGUGUUUAUAUUGCUCAGUUUGAAGAGUACACACUGCCCUUUAUCAAUCACUUGAUAGAAAGGAGGAUUGGACACUGGGACAUAGCCAUCAGGGAACUUGCUGCAAAGGCACUUCACAAGCUGACACCACUACUCCCUGAAGAUUACACAGUUCAAACUGUUCUCCAUGUCUUGUUAGAUGAGACAUCUUCCAUUGAUCCCAGUACUCGUUAUGGUGCCGUGUUGGGCAUCGCUGAAGUUCUUCCUGCACUGGCUGUUAUGGCUGCACAGUCGGAUCGAACUAUACAGAAUGUAGUUGGUAAGUUGUUACUUUUAGGCACAUUUAACAGUGGUUUAUGACCACAUUGUGGUUUCUGUUCCUGGACUUUUAGAAAUCUUUGUAUCAUGUGAAAUCCCAACUCUACAAAUCCUGUAGUUUUUUUGUUUUUUUUGUGUCAUACAGAAAGACCGAUUUAAACAACAUUAUUCCCUUUCCAUUUCUUAUGAAUUUUGAUUUACUAAAUAACCUGCAUGUGGCAUAAGGAAUAUUCUACCUUCUAGAACUUUUUCAUUGAUUUAGUGAACUUAUGGUGAAAACAAAAAUCAUUUCUGCAUGAUCUUAAUCUUGGUGAAUGACAUAUAUGUAGCCCUCGAUUUAUGCCAGGGAUGCGUUCCUGGACGAACCGGCGUAAACGGAGUCGGCGUAAAUUGAAACUCUUUUAUAAUGUUAAUCAAUAGGAAGUCAAUGACAUGCG